AAAGACUUGACGGUACUUCACAACACCCUAGAGGAGCCUGUCUAAUAACCGAUACCCCACGAUUAACCCAACCUACCCUAGCCCACCAGUCUAUAUACCGCCGUCACCAGCUCACCUUGUGAAAGAAACAAAGUGAACACAAUAGACUCCCCUAACACGACAGGUCGAGGUGUAACAAAUGAGUAGGCAAAAGAUGGGCUACAUUUUCUCCUGCAGAAAACACGGAUAAACUAUGAAACUAAAAAUUGAAGGCGGAUUUAGCAGUAUGUUAAAGACAAAAUACUUA
rnacentral:rRNA from 1 species